rnacentral:rRNA from 1 species
GGGCCCGCACAAGCGGUGGAUUAUGUGGAUUAAUUCGAUGCAACGCGAAAAAACCUUACCUGGCCUUGACAUGUACCGAAUUUAGCAGAGAUGCUUUAGUGCUCGUAAGAGAACGGUAACACAGGUGCUGCAUGGCUGUCGUCAGCUCGUGUCGUGAGAUGUUGGUUAAGUCCCGCAACGAGCGCAACCCUUGCCAUUAAUUGCCAUCAUUUAGUUGGGCACUUUAAUGGGACUGCCGGUGACAAACCGGAGGAAGGUGGGGAUGACGUCAAGUCCUCAUGGCCCUUAUGGCCAGGGCUUCACACGUAAUACAAUGGAUGGUACAGAGGGACGCCAACCCGCGAGGGGGAGCCAA